AAAAAGGAUUUUUCUAAAAUCCACCAAUCACUUCCUGAAAGAGAUCCU
rfam:Sarcophilus harrisii ctg7180002445356, whole genome shotgun sequence.